UUGAACGCUGGCGGCAUGCCUAACACAUGCAAGUCGAACGGAAACGAUGGGAGCUUGCUCCCAGGCGUCGAGUGGCGGACGGGUGAGGAAUGCAUAGGAAUCUGCCCAGUAGCGGGGGACAACUCGGGGAAACUCGAGCUAAUACCGCAUACGCCCUACCGGGGGAAAGUGGAGGAUCUUCGGACUUCACACUAUUGGAUGAGCCUAUGCCUGAUUAGCUUGUUGGUGGGGUAACGGCCUACCAAGGCGACGAUCAGUAGCUGGUCUGAGAGGACGAUCAGCCACACUGGGACUGAGACACGGCCCAGACUCCUACGGGAGGCAGCAGUGGGGAAUAUUGCACAAUGGGCGCAAGCCUGAUGCAGCAAUGCCGCGUGUGUGAAGAAGGCCUGCGGGUUGUAAAGCACUUUCAGUAGGGAGGAAACUGUAACGGAAUAAUACCCGUUACCCUGACGUUACCUACAGAAGAAGCACCGGCUAACUCUGUG
rnacentral:rRNA from 1 species